ensembl:lncRNA
UGUUGAGCUUUAAGCCAACUUUUUCACUCUCCUCUUUUACUUUCAUCAAGAGGCUUUUUAGUUCCUCUUCACUUUCUGCCAUAAGGGUGGUGUCAUCUGCAUAUCUGAGGUUAUUGAUAUUUCUCCUGGCAAUCUUGAUUCCAGCUUGUGCUUCUUCCAGCCCAGAGUUUCUCAUGAUGUACUCUGCAUAGAAGUUAAAUAAGCAGGGUGACAAUAUACAGCCUUGACGUACUCCUUUUCCUAUUUGGAACCAGUCUGUUGUUCCAUGUCCAGUUCUAACUGUUGCUUCCUGACCUGCAUACAGGUUUCUCAAGAGGCAGGUCAGGUGGUCUGGUAUUCCCAUCUCUUGAAGAAUUUUCCACAGUUUGUGGUGAUCCCCACAGUCAAAGGCUUUGGCAUAGUCAAUAAAGCAGAAAUCGAUGUUUCUCUGGAACUCUCUUGCUUUUUCAAUGAUCCAGCGGAUGUUGUCAAUUUGAUCUCUGGUUCCUCUGCCUUUCCUAAAACCAGCUUGAACAUCUGGAAGUUCACGGUUCACGUACUGCUGAAGCCUGGCUUGAAGGAUUUUGAGCAUUACUUUACUAGCGUGUGAGAUGAGUGCAAUUGUACGGUAGUUUGAGCAUUCUUUGGCAUUGCCUUUCUUUGGGAUUGGAAUGAAAACUGACCUUUUCCAGUCUUGUGGUCACUGCUGAGUUUUCCAAAUUUCCUGGAAUAUUGAGUGCAGCACUUUCACAGCAUCAUCUUUCAGGAUCUGAAAUAGCUCAACUGGAAUUCCAUUGCCUCCACUAGCUUUGUUUGUAAUGAUGCUUUCUAAGGCCCACUUGACUUCAGCUUCCAGGAUGUCUGGCUCUAGGUGAGUGAUCACACCAUUGUGAAUAUCUGGGUCGUGAAGCUCUUUUUUGCACAGUUCUUCUGUGUAUUCUUGUCACCUCUUCUUAAUAUCUUCUGCUUCUGUUAGGUCCAUACCAUUUCUGUCCUUUAUCGAGCCCAUCUUUGCAUGAAAUAUUCCCUUGGUCUCUCUAAUUUUCUUGAAGAGAUCUCUAGUCUUUCCCAUUCUGUUGUUUUCCUCUAUUUCUUUGCAUUGAUCGCUGAGGAAGGCUUUCUUAUCUCUCCUUGCUAUUUUUUGGAACUCUGCAUUCAGAUGCUUAUAUCUUUCCUUUUCUCCUUUGCUUUUCGCUUCUCUUCUUUUCACAGCUAUUUGUAAGGCCUCCUCAGACAGCCAUUUUGCUUUUCUGCAUUUCUUUUCCAUGGGGAUGGUCUUGAUCCCUGUCCCCUGUACAAUGUCAUGAACCUCCAUCCAUAGUUCUUCAGGCACUCUGUCUAUCAGAUCUAGGCCCUUAAAUUUAUUUUUCACUUCCACUGUGUAAUCAUAAGGGAUUUAAUUUAGAUCAUAUCUCAAUGGUCUAGUGGUUUUCCCUACUUUCUUCAAUUUAAGUCUGAAUUUGGCAAUAAGGAGUUCAUGAUCUGAGCCACAGUCAGCUCUCAGUCUUGUUUUUGCUGACUGUAUAGAGCUUCUCCAUCUUUGGCUGCAAAGAAUAUAACCAAUCUAAUUUCGGUGUUGACCAUCUGGUGAUGUCCAUGUGUAGAGUCUUCUUUUGUGUUGUUGGAAGACAGUGUUUGUUAUAACCAGUGCGUUCUCUUGGCAAAACUCUAUUAGCCUUUGCCCUGCUUCAUUCCAUACUCCAAGGCCAAAUUUGCCUGUUACUCCAGAUGUUUCUUGACUUCCUACUUUUGCUUUCCAGUCCCCUAUAAUGAAAAGGACAUCUCCCUAAUUAAUCACCUUCCAAAUCCUCUCAGGCUUAUUCUAAGUGAGGAGAGUGCCCUUCCCCCACACUCCACUCAGAUGGUGCUCUUCUCUGUAAUCCAGGCAAGUUCAAGCAGGUUUGACCUUAGUAGACCAAAAACCUCAGAGACCAGUAGGGUACUACAGCUGUAUCUUGGAAACUGCUGAGGUUUCAUUUAUUCACCUUUGUGCUGGGUAGUGGUAUGAAAAACUCAGUCUCUGUGCAGCAGUGCAAAAUCGAAUGUCAGAGACAGAGUUUUGGGUGACGUAAAAAAGAAUAGUUUUAUUGUUUUGCCAGGCAAAGGGGGAUACAAUUGGCUCCUGCCCUUGAAACUGUGGUAGGUUUGGCUGAGGAGUUUUAUACUAAUAGCUCAAGGGCAGAGCUGCUAAUAGGGAUCAGGGCCUGCACUGCUUUAAUCCAGCCUCAGGUGGUCUCCUAAUGAGCUUCUCUGGUUCCUUUCAUCUGGCCUCAGGGUCCCAUCCAGGAUACCACAGUACUUUUAAUUUUGUUGUUCAGUCGCUCAGUCAUGUCGACCCUUUGCGACCCCAUGGACUGCAGCACGCCAAGCUUCUCUGUCCUUCACCACCUCCCAGAGCUUGGGCAAACUCAUGUCCAUUGAGUUGGUGAUGCCAUCCAACCAUCUCAUCCUCUGUCG